UACAAGAGCCGGUCGAACUCCUUC
rnacentral:piRNA from 1 species